rnacentral:tRNA from 1 species
GCCGGGUUAGCUCAGCUGGUCAGAGCAAGGCUUUUGUAAAGCCUAGGCCGUCGGUUCGAAUCCGACACCCGGCU